rnacentral:rRNA from 1 species
GAUGAACGCUGGCGGCGUGCCUAAUACAUGCAAGUCGAGCGAAAAGAUGAGUGUCUUGCUCCUCUUGCGUUAGCGGCGGACGGGGGAGUAACACGUGUAUAACCUACCUAUAAAACUGGGAGAACUUCGGGAAACCGGAGCUAAUACCGGAUAAUAUAUUAUACCGCAUGGUUCAUUAGUUAUAGACGGUUUUGCGGUCACUGAUAGAUGUAUCCGCGCCGCAUUAGCUAGUUGGUAAGGUAACGGCUUACCAAGGCAACGAUGCGUAGCCGAACUGAGAGGGGGAUCGGCCACACUGGAACUGAGACACGGUCCAGACUCCUACGGGAGGCAGAAGUAGGGAAUCUUACGAAAUGGGAGAAAGCUUGACGGAGAAACGCCGAGUGAGUGAUGAAGGUCUUCGGAUCGUAAAACUCUGUUAUUAGGGAAGAACAAAUGUGUCAGUAAAUAUGCACGUCUUGACGGUACCUAAUCAGAAAGCCACGGCUAACUACGUG